UCCAAUACUUUGAUGAUGGUAAGCACUC
rnacentral:piRNA from 1 species